rnacentral:ncRNA from 2 species
AUUAUGGAGAGUUUGAUCCUGGCUCAGGACGAACGCUGGCGGCGUGCCUAAUACAUGCAAGUCGAGCGGA